rnacentral:rRNA from 1 species
GACGAACGCUGGCGGCGUGCCUAAUACAUGCAAGUUGAGCGCUGAAGGUUGGUACUUGUCCCAACUGGAUGAGCAGCGAACGGGUGAGUAACGCGUGGGGAAUCUGCCUUUGAGCGGGGGACAACAUUUGGAAACGAAUGCUAAUACCGCAUAAAAACUUUAAACACAAGUUUUAAGUUUGAAAGAUGCAAUUGCAUCACUCAAAGAUGAUCCCGCGUUGUAUUAGCUAGUUGGUGAGGUAGAGGCUCACCAAGGCGAUGAUACAUAGCCGACCUGAGAGGGUGAUCGGCCACAUUGGGACUGAGACACGGCCCAAACGCCUACGGGAGGCAGCAGUAGGGAAUCUUCGGCAAUGGACGAAAGUCUGACCGAGCAACGCCGCGUGAGUGAAGAAGGUUUUCGGAUCGUAAAACUCUGUUGGUAGAGAAGAACGUUGGUGAGAGUGGAAAGCUCAUCAAGUGACGGUAACUACCCAGAAAGGGACGGCUAACUACGUG